GGGCCUUUCCCGUCAAGGUUCAGGGACUCACCGAUGAUAGCAACGCCCAAGGCUACAAAAGAAGGGGUAUUUAAGUGUUUAAAUUUCUGCUCCCUACCCACCUUCAUCCCGUCGGGAGAAGCGGAGCUGACAGAUGAUUUGAGGUCACAUUCCGCUGUUUAUUCAGCAUAGAUCGCUCAAAUUCUACAGCGAUGCACUGGGAUCCCCAUGCUGAAUGGCCCUGCAUUCUUCCGAGCUACCCCUCUGCAGUGUUCUGGGAAACACGCCACAGCUUCACACGGUCCACAGUCCUUCAAGACUUGGAUGGAAAAAGGCCUGAGCCAUGCACUGUAAGGAAAAAGUAAAAGAUGGAUGGAUCAUCUUCCAUGUAAAGAGUCUGCACAAAGGCAAAUCAUGAUUGAUUCGCACACCCCCCCGCAAAAGAAAGAAUCAAUAAUUCCAUUGAGACGCACGCUAUAAGGAAGAGGAAAGCACUGGAAACCUACCUUUGCAGAAUCAGAAACGUUAUCCCAGUAUGGAGAAGGGAAGUCCACUUGCCCCAUCAAAAUCUGAUCAAAAAGCACCUCCUGGUCAUCACCGCUUCUGUUUAGAUGAAGGACAACAACGAGGAAUAAACAGCAGGAAAAUGCCAACUCAGGGUGUAUCUUUUCAUUCUUAUGCAUUGAAGCCCUUCCUUUCCCCACAAAUGUGUAAAAUGUGUGUUUUUAAGCAAUUCAAAAUGUCAGUAUGGAGCUGUUUUGGCAAAUUAAGAAAGAAUGAGUUUUUAAAUUAUAUGAGGAAGAUUUAUGGAAGGCAUGUAAAUCAGCGUGCACAACAUGGAAAAAAUAACAAGUUCUUAUGCUCUUUUCCAGCUGUAGGCUCCUUUGUGCGGGGAGGCCGAAUGGAUCAUUCAGAGAAGGGAGAAAUGCUUUGUUGGUGCUGAAUAAAAGAUCGCUGCCCAUACCCACGGAAUGGAGGGAAACCACAGAGCAGGAUGUAAGUGAUUACACCAGCUGCCCAGAUGUCCACCUUGAGGCCAUAUCUGAAAAAGAUGAAUAUUCCUGCCUGUUUUAAAGAACAGAAACCCGAGGUUCAGAGGGUAAAUAAUUUUGCUCAAGAUCUCACAAUUAGUGGCACAGCUGAGUUCCAGCCAAGGUUUUCAAGAGCUGAACCAAAUCCUCCUUCGACCCCACACCACCCCUUCGCAGCAGGCCAUCAGAGCACCCAACAGAGAUAACGGCAUUGCCUCGAGGGAGGUCAGGCAUGGCUAUAGAUUGUGGGCUCGCAAUUGACUCAAAUCUGAUGAAUAAAAAAGUGCUCAUUACCUCACACCUCACUCUGGGGAUUUCUCCUCUCAUCUGUUCUGUAUUUAUGCCUUUCUGGUCUAUGGUACAAGCAGAAAAACUAUCUCCACCUGUCACAGUGGAAGAUACUACCUAGAUUGUGAGGUUUGGGUUGGUGCCACUAAUGGGAAGAAAUAGUCAGGCUGUCCUUGCUGUGGCCCAACCUUCUGUUUAAGGACAGUGCUUCAGAACCCUGCUGCUGAUCCUUGGCAAGAAAUGGGGCUCUUCACUGAAAGAGCCUUUUACUCACCUAGACCUGAGUUCAAAUGCUGACUCAGCUACUAUCUAGUCAUGAGCUUCUAAGUCAAUCAUCAGAGACUGAGUUUAUUCAGAUGCAAAAUGGGAAUCAUAUCAUCUACUGGAAGAGUAAGAAUUAAGUAAAGGAGCCUGGCAUAUAGUAGUAGGUCCUUAGUUAAGCAUUAGGCCACCCCACAAUCUCCCCCCAUUCUAGAGAUUUUCAUUCAUCUGUGUCCGCUGCACUCAGAAACCAGCCAGUUCCCAGGGGCCCUCAGAUGUCUGAGGGUAUCUGCACUCCACAGAUAAUCAGUGGGCUGCCAAGAGGACCAAAAUGGGACCGGAACUGGAGAAUAAGGACAGCUGAGAGAAGUAACCACAGUAGACUGGACUCACUGCACACAGCGAUGUCUGUUUCUUUUUGCUCCAAUAGCUAGUUAAUUACCAUCAUAGUUAAUUACUAUGUUUCUCUGUUAGUCCAAACAUUUUUUACUAAGGGGUUAAUAACUGCCAUUCUACCUUUAACAAAGGCCAAAAGGAAGCCUUAAACAAGAUGGUAGUAACUGGCAACUUGAUGGGAAAAACAGAGAAAAUGGCUCCCACUUUCAAGUCAAAAAAAAAAAAAGUGAAAAAUAUAUGAUAACUAGUUCUGUCUGGAUGGGACAGAACACUCCUAUUUCUUCUAUCCUUGAAGCCAACUAGCUAUUUUGCAAGCACAGUACUGCAGUAAAUGCACAAGAAGUGUUUACC